rnacentral:piRNA from 1 species
UGCACCAAGCGAUACCCAUACUGAAUU